rnacentral:rRNA from 1 species
AUUGAACGCUGGCGGCAUGCCUUACACAUGCCAGUCGAACGGCAGCAUGAUCUAGCUUGCUAGAUUGAUGGCGAGUGGCGAACGGGUGAGUAAUACAUCGGAACGUGCCCUGUAGUGGGGGAUAACUAGUCGAAAGAUUAGCUAAUACCGCAUACGACCUGAGGGUGAAAGUGGGGGACCGCAAGGCCUCAUGCUAUAGGAGCGGCCGAUGUCUGAUUAGCUAGUUGGUGAGGUAAAGGCUCACCAAGGCGACGAUCAGUAGCUGGUCUGAGAGGACGAUCAGCCACACUGGGACUGAGACACGGCCCAGACUCCUACGGGAGGCAGCAGUGGGGAAUUUUGGACAAUGGGCGAAAGCCUGAUCCAGCAAUGCCGCGUGUGUGAAGAAGGCCUUCGGGUUGUAAAGCACUUUUGCCCGGAAAGAAAUGGCUCUGGUUAAUACCUGGGGUCGAUGACGGUACCGGAAGAAUAAGGACCGGCUAACUACGUG